UAACCCAUUUCACAGACUGAGCCCCAGAGAGAUGCAACCUGCCCAAGAUUUCAGAGAUGGGAUCAGAGUCUAGUCACUGAUUGUCACGGUUGGGGACACCAAGAGUGGGGGUGGG